UACAGAGGUCCCGAGCGUUGUUCGGAUUCACUGGGCGUAAAGGGUGCGCGGGUGGGUUGGCAAGUUUGAUGUGAAAGCCCCGGGCUUAACCCGGGAAUGGCAUUGGAUACUGCUGAUCUGGAGGAUCGGAGGGGGGACUGGAAUUCUUGGUGCAGCAGUGAAAUGCGUAGAUAUCAAGAGGAACACCAGUGGCGAAGGCGAGUCCCUGGACGAUACCUGACACUGAGGCACGAAAGCCGGGGGAGCAAACAGG
rnacentral:rRNA from 1 species